rnacentral:rRNA from 1 species
GUUGAACGCUGGCGGCAUGCCUUACACAUGCAAGUCGAACGGUAACGGGCCUUCGGGUGCCGACGAGUGGCGAACGGGUGAGUAAUGCAUCGGAACGUACCUUUCAGUGGGGGAUAACGUAGCGAAAGUUACGCUAAUACCGCAUAUUCUGUGAGCAGGAAAGCAGGGGAUCGCAAGACCUUGCGCUGAUUGAGCGGCCGAUGUCAGAUUAGCUAGUUGGUGAGGUAAAGGCUCACCAAGGCGACGAUCUGUAGCGGGUCUGAGAGGAUGAUCCGCCAGACUGGCACUGAGACACGGUCCAGACUCCUACGGGUGGCAGCAGUGGGGAAUGUUGGACAAUGGGGGCAACCCUGGUCCAGCCAUGCCGCGUGGGUGAAGAAGGCCUUCGGGUGGUAAAGCUCUUUCGGCCGGGAAGAAAUCGUAUGGGUUAAUACCCUGUGCGGAUGACGGUACCGGCAUAAGAAGCACCGGCUAACUACGUGCCAGCCGCCGCGGUAA